UACGUAGGGGGCAAGCGUUGUCCGGAUUUACUGGGCGUAAAGAGCGCGUAGGCGGAAAUUUAAGCGUGGCCUGAAAGCCCCCGGCUCAACCGGGGAGUGCGGCUGCGAACUGGGUUUCUUGAGGACGAUAGAGGAGAGUGGAAUUCCUGGUGUAGCGGUGAAAUGCGUAGAUAUUAGAAGGAACACCGGUGGCGAAGGCGACCAUCUGGACAGUAACUGACACUGAGGCGCGAAAGCGUGGGGAUCAAACAGG
rnacentral:rRNA from 1 species